GGCUUCAAUUUUUUCGUUGAAUUUAGAUAGCCGAGUAUCCAUUUUUCAAUAAAAUCGUAUAAAUUUCAAAUAAAGGCUUAUACUCGGGAAUUCAAAAUGUUGUGUCCUAACUUACUGGAUAUGACAUUUUGUCAUCUUGAGGUAAGGAUUUCUAAAAAUAAAGGCAAUAUUCUGUAUUUGGAAUAUUGAGAAAUUAAACCCUGACUUACUGGGUUCCGAUUUUUU
rnacentral:lncRNA from 1 species